rnacentral:rRNA from 1 species
GAUAGCGGCGCGAUUCGCCCUUCCUACGGGGGGCAGCAGUGAGGAAUAUUGGUCAAUGGGCGAGAGCCUGAACCAGCCAAGUAGCGUGAAGGAUGACUGCCCUAUGGGUUGUAAACUUCUUUUAUAAGGGAAUAAAGUGGAGAACGUGUUCUCCUUUGUAUGUACCUUACGAAUAAGGAUCGGCUAACUCCGUGCCAGCAGCCGCGGUAAUACGGAGGAUCCGAGCGUUAUCCGGAUUUAUUGGGUUUAAAGGGUGCGUAGGUGGAUUUAUAAGUCAGUAGUGAAAGUUUGCGGCUCAACCGUAAAAUUGCUAUUGAUACUGUAGAUCUUGAGUGUACAAGAGGCGGGCGGAAUUCGUGGUGUAGCGGUGAAAUGCUUAGAUAUCACGAAGAACUCCAAUUGCGAAGGCAGCUCACUGGGGUACAACUGACACUGAUGCACGAAAGUGUGGGUAUCAAACAGGAUUAGAUACCCUGGUAGUCCACACAGUAAACGAUGAAUACUCGCUGUUUGCGAUACACAGCAAGCGGCCAAGCGAAAGCAUUAAGUAUUCCACCUGGGGAGUACGCCGGCAACGGUGAAACUCAAAGGAAUUGACGGGGGCCCGCACAAGCGGAGGAACAUGUGGCUUAAUUCGAUGAUACGCGAGGAACCUUACCCGGGCUUGAAUUGCAACUGCAUAUAGUGGAAACAUUAUAGCCAGCAAUGGCAGUUGUGAAGGUGCUGCAUGGUUGUCGUCAGCUCGUGCCGUGAGGUGUCGGCUUAAGUGCCAUAACGAGCGCAACCCUUAUUGAUAGUUACUAACAGGCAAUGCUGAGGACUCUAUCAAGACUGCCGUCGUAAGAUGUGAGGAAGGUGGGGAUGACGUCAAAUCAGCACGGCCCUUACGUCCGGGGCUACACACGUGUUACAAUGGGGGGUACAGAAAGGUCGCUACCUGGCAACAGGAUGCUAAUCCCAAAACCUCUCUCAGUUCGGAUUGGAGUCUGCAACUCGACUCAUGAAGCUGGAUUCGCUAGUAAUCGCGCAUCAGCACGGCGCGGUGAAUACGUUCCCGGGUCUGUACACACGCCGGUCAAGCCAUGGGAGCUGGGGUACUGGAGCACGUACCGCAAGGAUCGGUCUAGGUUAAACCUGGGUACUGGGCUAAGUCGUACAUGUUACCAAAGGGCCAAAUC